GGAGAAAACGAGGAGGAGGCACUCGGAGGUGAUGCUGGAGCUGAGUGGAGGCGGAACAACAGCAGAGGAGUUGAAAGAAUGAAUGUUCAGGAGAGAAGCGACACCUUUAUUCACGCUCAGCCGCCGCUCAAGGACAACUUUUUUUCCUUCUUUUCUCUCCGUUUUGUAUCCGAGGCAGAAACGUCUGCAGCAGGAGGAACCGUCAGGAGGGGGUCCAGCUCCACCGUGUCACCUCUUCUCCCCGUUUGCCGCCAUCAGGAGCAUAAUUACUGCUCAUCUGAAUGGACUUUCCUCUCCUUAAGGUCACGGCCGCGUUUUUUCUUUCUCUGCUCCUCCACCACGUUAAUGGCCGUAAGCGUGAUUUGCAUCAGAAUUGGAGGGGGGGCUUUGGCGCAGGACUUAGUGUCGUUUUAACAGACGUGGUGGUCACCUGACUCCGGAUUCGGGUCAAAACUCACGGUCGGCGCGGCGCUAAUUGUUGCUGAAACUUUCUUGUGCUGCAUUCAUCACUGGGUUUUUUUCACUGCAGGAAGUUGAAUCCUAAUUAGUACUCAGAUCUUAUUCUGAAAAGGUUUUGUGUCAAAAGGAAGCUCUCGAUGUUGGUAGCUUCGAUACAUGAGCCCAUCUCCAGGAGGACAAAGAAAUCAAAUAAACGUGGUUUAGUUUAGUCAAAGAUCAGGUCAAACGUACGGCUUUUACCUGCCGACAAGAGUUCACCUCAAUUUCCAGAUCAUCACCUCCUUUUUGGCACUCUUUCUCUAGUUCUAACCCCUCCCUCCUGCUUGGAGUGUUGCAUAAUGUGCAAAAAUACUCCCAGUCCUCUUUGUUGAAACAACGGAGCAUCUAAGGCGUCGUCAUGCAGAAGCUGCUGCAGGUUUGGUGCUGCAAAGACGUUUACAGGAGAUGGCUCCAGCACAUUUAAGCCCUUUCUGCCGAAAUUUCAACAAACUCCAACUAUUUAGUAUUCCUUUAGAGGUCAAACCUCUACUGUCAAUCAUUUUAUGAUUAUAUUUCACAAACACAUGUUUGGUGACUGUUAAUCAUUACAAAUGUGAUGACAUUUACGUUUUUGUAGAACCACUUCAAUGAAAAUGGUGCUUUUUGUGUUUUUAA